AAGUCGUAACAAGGUAACCGUAGGUGAACCUGCGGUUGGAUCAUUCAUUAUCUUUAUUGUUUGAUUGGGAUCCUCUAUCUCUCUCUCAAGGAGAGACAUGAUCUCAUGAUACACAAUGUGAAUUUCCGAUUGUGAUUUGUGACAAGGAGGUUUAUAAUCUCCUUGGAAACACCAUGACACUAUAUUAUUUAAUGACUUGUACAUGACACCAAUAGUGAAAUGUUAAAAAACAACUUUUGACAAUGGAUCUCUUGGUUCUCA
rnacentral:misc_RNA from 1 species